CGCUCUGCUGGACCAUAACUGACACUCAGGGACGAAAGCUAGGGGAGCCGAAUGGGAUUAGAUUACCCCAGUAGUCCUAGCCGUAAACGAUGGAUACUAGGUGUUGUCUGUAUCGACCCGGACAGUGCCGUAGCUAACGCGUUAAGUAUCCCGCCUGGGGAGUACGGCACGCAAGUGUGAAACUCAAAGGAAUUGACGGGGGCCCGCACAAGCGGUGGAGUAUGUGGUUUAAUUCGAUGCAACGCGAAGAACCUUACCAAAUCUUGACAUCCUCUGACAACUGUAGAGAUACAGCUUCCCUUCGGGGCAGAGUGACAGGUGGUGCCAUGGUUGUCGUCAGCUCGUGUCGUGAGAUGUUGGGUUAAGUCCCGCAACGAGCGCAACCCUUAAGUUUAGUUGCCAUCAUUAAGUUGGGCACUCUAGACUGACUGCCGGUGACAAACCGGAGGAAGGUGGGGACGACGUCAAAUCAUCAUGCCCCUUAUGAUUUGGGCUACACACGUGCGUCGACGCGGCCG
rnacentral:rRNA from 1 species